rnacentral:tRNA from 1 species
ACAUCGGUAGCACAGUGCAGUCUGCCGGAAACAGAAAGACGCGGGUUCAAUUCCCUUCCGAUGUC